AAGGAUGGGAAUAACCCUGCAGAAAAUGGAGAUGCCAAAACAGACCAGGCACAAAAAGCUGAAGGUGCUGGAGAUGCCAAGUGAAGUGUGUGCAUUUUUGAUAACUGUGUACUUCUGGUGACUGUACAGUUUGAAAUACUAUUUUUUAUCAAGUUUUAUAAAAAUGCAGAAUUUUGUUUUACUUUUUUUUUUAAGCUAUGUUGUUAGCACACAGAACACUUCAUUGUUGUUUUUGGGGAAGGAGCGUAUGUCACUAGUACAAUGUCUCCAAAGCUGGAUUGAUGUGGGGAAAGCACCUUUCCCUGCUAGUUUUGAGAGACUUCCUCUUGGCUCCCAGGAAGGAGGGAUUCCCUGAUGUUGACACCUGUGGCCACCUUGGUGCAAUGCCUUGUGGUAUGGGAAAACUCCCAGUUCAUUUUAUGUCCUCCUUCCCUCUGCCAUCAGCAUAGACUUAAACUCCCUUAAGCCCAGAGACCUGUUGGGACCUGACUCCCAAAAAUUGAUGUUACCAGUGUGUCAAGCAUUCUGGACUUGCCAAUGACGUUGAGAUGCUAUCCCACAAGAGCAUUGAUUUCCUUUUCUAGAUUGUGGAUCUUCAGAUUGAUAAUUCUGCCAUUUUCAUUUCAUUUUCUGAAAGUCAGGGUCGGCUUGUGAAAAGUUGUUAAACAACAUGCUAAAUGUGAAGUGUCAACCCUCACUCUAAACUCUCCCUACUCAGAGCAUCAAAUGAAGACUUCAUUGGAUUUUAUAGUGGCUUUCUGAUUUUUGGUAGUCCAUCCAAGAAGGGAGUUUGAAAGUUGUUGUAUACUGUUAACGAUUGUGUGCCCAUGUCCUGCCUGAAAUACCAUGAUUGUUUAUGAAAAGUAUCUUUAAUAAAGCUGGAUACAGUUUGGCUUGGAA